rnacentral:tRNA from 1 species
GCGGAUGUAGCUCAGUUGGUUAGAGCGUCGGUUUGUGGUACCGAAUGUCGCCAGUUCGAAUCUGGUCAUCCGCCCCA